rnacentral:lncRNA from 1 species
GAGAUCAGUGUCUUGAUAAAUACAAACUUCCUGAAAAGAUGGGUUAAACCUCAAAGCCUGUGUAACUACAGCUUGACAAAGACUCUCGAGGAAAGGUAAACGGAAAGUGAGUUGGCAACACAACUCACCUACAAGUUCUCCAAUCAUGAAAAGCAAGUACAGAACGGCAGCAAUGGUCAACCUGGCUUUCACCUUUCUCUGCUUCAGUAUCUCUCUCUGUUUGCUGCAGUUGUCACAGGAGUCCACCUUCAAACUCAGCUGACUGUUGGUCAAAGUUUUGGAGGCCCUAUGAUUACAAUCAGCCCACUGGAACAAUCCAGGAUAAUGUUUUUUUUUUAAGAUGGAAUCUCGCCCUGUCGCCCAGGCUGGAGUGCAGUGGAGCUGCUCA